ensembl:snRNA U6 U6 spliceosomal RNA
AUGCUCGCUUCGGGAGCACAUGUACUAAAAUUGGAAUGAUACAGAGAAGACUAGCAUGGCCCCUGCGCAAGGAUAAAAGGCAUUGUUUAAUUUACAGUGAUGU